GACUGGAACUGAAUAAAAUUAUCUUUCGGCAAAUCGCUACGACUCUUCACGAGCAACCAUCAAAUGUGUUUUUUGUUGAACUCAUUGUAGAGCCCACGAUGAACUUGGAUAAAGUUUCGAUCGAUGCCUCCGUCGAGAAUUUGCUGUUCUGAAGAUUCCUAAUCGCAGCAACAGAGUCUUCAAUGGUAACAGCAUGUGCAACUUUUCCGAGGAGGUCAAGAAUGGUUUCUUUAAUUGACACCACACCAUUAUCACUUUUAGAGGUCCACUCUAGCCACGCCUUUUCUCUGUGGAAGUCACAAAGCAAUACCUUUGACCUUACAAAAUAAAAGGGGCAUAAAAAAGGUCAUAAUAUUUAUUGUAGUGUAAACUGAAAAGCCAGAAAGCAUUGUUGCAGUUGAGAGGAAUAAUAAUAUUCUGUAAUCAUCAUAGGCAGAGUGAUUUCCUACAUGGUUCUCAAGGGAAUUAAGUCAACAUACAAUGAUGCUCUUGUGAUGUACAUUUAAUGUUAGUGAAUGAAGAUUACUGUUAUAUGAAAAUAUAAUAAAUGUUUAUGCAAAAUAAAAUUACUGUUUACUAUG